UCUUUCUUUUGUCUCCAUCUCGUCUCUGC
rnacentral:piRNA from 1 species